UACGUAGGGGGGCUAGCGUUGUCCGGAAUCAUUGGGCGUAAAGAGCGUGUAGGCGGCCCGGUAAGUCCGCUGUGAAAGUCGGGGGGCUCAACCCUCGGAUGCCGGUGGAUACUGUCGGGCUCGAGUACGGAAGAGGCGAGUGGAAUCUGGUGUAGCGGUGAAAUGCGCAGAUAUCAGGAGGACACCUAUUGCGAAGGCAGCUCGCUGGGACGUUACUGACGCUGAGACGCGAAAGCGUGGGGAGCAA
rnacentral:rRNA from 1 species